rnacentral:lncRNA from 1 species
CCUAGGAUACUUUAAAGGCAAAAUACAUAAGCGGCCCCUUAAGGUUGGCUCCAACUUUCUGUCAUGACCCAAACCGAUGGGCCACGACGGGCACCCAGUACCUUACUUGACUGAGUACUAACGUAAUGUACCUUUCUUAUUACAUCAUUAUAUACAUGUGACAUAUGGGCCUAAUAGGCUAACAUAAUCAUUUAUGAACUCAAACAUAGGCCGACAUGGCCGUACAAUCUUCCACGUACACGACAUAUGUCUACAAGCCUCUAAGAGUACAUAAGUGUCACAAAGGUCAGAACAGAGUUCCGCCAUACCAAACAUUAGAUGUCUAAAUCAUACUAACCAAAUACGCAGCUCCGAAGCAAAUGGAGCGCACCAACAUCUUCCGCUGAGCUGAUAGCCUAUUUGGAAGGCUCUCGACCUGUCUAUCAGGACCUGCGGGCAUGAAAUGCAGUGUCCCCAGGCAAAAGGGACGUUAGUACGAAUAAUGUACCGAGUAUGUAAGGCACAUAAAUAAAUACAUAGGAGAUAUGGAAGACAUAUAGAGUACAUGACUCAACCUAUAAGUCUAAAUAACUUUGCAAAUCAUAAAUUACUUUUAGCGUCAUGCAUAUGCGUAUGACUGUCAUGUCGUGCAUAGGUACAUGUUUCAUAACAUCAUCAGCCUCUCAGGGCAUCCCAUCAUAUCAUAUCGUCCACUGUGGGCAAAAUCAUCAUCGUAUACCAGCUGAUCAGGUGGUGGUGCGUAUAUAACGCCAUAACCUUUCCCAUAUCCCAUAUACAUAUAUAUACCUGCAUAUAUACGCGUAUAUAACGCCGUUUGAAUAAAUACAUAUAUAUGCGUAUAUAACGCCAUUUGAAUACAUACCCAUAUAUGCGUAUAUAAUGCCGUUUGAAUCAUAUUUCAGCCACUGUGGGCAACAUCAUCAUCAUAUACCAACUGAUCAGGCGGUGGUGUGUAUAUAACGCCGUAACCUUUUCUAAUAUCCCAUAUAUAUAUAUAUAUAUGCGUAUAUAAUGCCGUCUGAGUUAUGGGUCAAUGUACAUAUAUAAAUGCAUGAAAUGCAUAUGAAAUACAAUAACAAAAUCUCUCGAUACGUCAUAAGACCAUUAUACCUUUGGUAAUAUCAUAACAUCAUUUUACGUAUUUUCUGAGACCCAUGAACAGACGAUGGAAUAAUAAUACAUAUGAAAAUUCAAGAACAUAGAUACUUCUAAUACUUCUAUGAAUAGAGUCAUAUGUGAAAUUUGUGCAUUUGCACGUUUCGUUCGUAUCAUAAGGAUCAUGCCAAAAGAAAGAUGGGAUAGCCUUAACAUACCCGUUUCUGCAAAAUUCUUGAAAGAAAACUAUGCUUGAAUCUUGGAUUGAAAUUUGAACUGAAAUUUCAAUCAAAAUUUUUGAAGUGUUAACAGAAUUGAUUCUCUGGUUCAAGACAACAUGCAAUUAUUUGGUUUCCCGUUUUUGGCUUUGAAAUUGUUUUCACGUUUUGGCUUUGAAAUGUUGAAAAAUCUGAUUCUUAAGUUUUUAGUUCCUUAAGAAUCUCACUCACGUUUAUUUUUGUUUGGUUUCUAAAUACAAAAAGUCUUUCUGAAA